GACGAACGUUGGCGGCGUGCUUAAUACAUGCAAGUCAACUGAAGCAGUGGUAGCAAUAUCGCUGUGGAGGUGGCGCACGGGUGAGUAACACGUAGGUAAUCUGCCUUCAGGUCUGGCAUAACUCCGGGAAACCGGGGCUAAUAGCAGAUGAUGCAGCGGCUCGACAUCGAGACAGUUGUUAAAGCUAUGGCGCCUGAAGAUGAGCCUGCGUCUGAUUAGCUAGUUGGCGGGGUAACGGCCCACCAAGGCAACGAUCAGUAGCUGGUCUGAGAGGAUGAUCAGCCACACUGGAACUGAGACACGGUCCAGACUCCUGCGGGAGGCAGCAGUAAGGAAUAUUGCUCAAUGGGAGAAAUCCUGAAGCAGCAACGCAGCGUGAGGGACGAAGGGCUUUUGCUUGUAAACCUCUGUAGUGAGAGAAAAAAAUCCCAAUCUUUGGGACAUGAUGGUAUCUCAAAAGUAAGCCCCGGCUAACUACGUG
rnacentral:rRNA from 1 species